GGGGAAUUUUCCGCAAUGGGCGAAAGCCUGACGGAGCCAGACCGCGUGGGGGACGAAGGCUCUUGGGUUGUAAACCCCUUUUCUCAGGGAAGAAAAAAAUGACGGUACCUGAGGAAUAAGCAUCGGCUAACUCCGUGCCAGCAGCCGCGGUAAGACGGAGGAUGCAAGCGUUAUCCGGAAUGAUUGGGCGUAAAGCGUCCGCAGGUGGCCCUUCAAGUCUGCUGUCAAAGAGCAAGGCUCAACCUUGUCAAGGCAGUGGAAACUGAAAGGCUAGAGUGUGGUAGGGGUAGAGGGAAUUCCCAGUGUAGCGGUGAAAUGCGUAGAGAUUGGGAAGAACACCGGUGGCGAAAGCGCUCUACUGGGCCUGCACUGACACUGAGGGACGAAAGCUAGGGGAGCGAAUGGGAUUAGAUACCCCAG
rnacentral:rRNA from 1 species